UACAGAGGUCUCAAGCGUUGUUCGGAUUUAUUGGGCGUAAAGGGCGCGUAGGCGGCGGGGUAAGUCGGGUGUGAAAUUUCGGAGCUUAACUCCGAAACUGCAUUCGAUACUGCCGUGCUAGAGUGCUGGAGAGGAGAUUGGAAUUUACGGUGUAGCAGUGAAAUGCGUAGAUAUCGUAAGGAAGACCAGUGGCGAAGGCGGAUCUCUGGACAGCUACUGACACUGAGGCACGAAGGCCAGGGGAGCAAAACGGGG
rnacentral:rRNA from 1 species